UUAUUUGAAACAGGAUACAACCUCAUAUAUAGGGUAAGCAAAAAGAAAAUAAAAUAAAGUAGGCCUAAAAGCAGCCAUCUUUAAGAAAGCGUCACAGCUCUGCUACACUUAAUUUAUAAUCCCCUUAAUUUCCCCCAACCCUUCCCCCCCACUGAACCACUUUAUACUUAUAUAAAAAUUAUUAUGCUAGGACUAGUAACAAGAACUUACCUUUCUCCUCAAUAUAAGUAUAAGUCAAUACGGAUUAUCCAUUGACAAUUAACGUUUAUGAACCCCUUAUAAUAACUCUGACUAGAAAACCUUAUAUUUUUAAACGUUAACCUUACACUAGCAUAUUUAAGGAAAGAUUAAAAGAAAGAGAAGGAACUCGGCAAACUUUAACCCCGCCUGUUUACCAAAAACAUCGCCUCUUGACAAACAUAAGAGGUCCAGCCUGCCCAGUGACAAUGUUCAACGGCCGCGGUACCCUAACCGUGCAAAGGUAGCAUAAUCACUUGUUCUUUAAAUGGGGACUUGUAUCAAUGGCACCACGAGGGUUGCACUGUCUCCUUUUUCCAAUCAGUGAAACUGAUCUCCCCGUGAAGAAGCUGGGAUUUUAAC
rnacentral:rRNA from 1 species